UUUAAAAUACUUAAAUUUCCACGAUGCAAAUAUAUCGAUAACGUUAUUAAAAAAAGUAACCGCAUGAUAUAUUCUCUUUCGUAUGAUACUAAGGCUCCGAAAAUGGUGAUUGCGUUUUGCGUUACGGGAGAAGUGCGGUGCGGUUCAAAUAAUAACGAAAAUACAUAGAUACAUAUGUAUAUGUACAAAUUUUAAUACUGUUACAUCACUAUUGCGGUACGGUUUUAAAUGCGGUUUUGGUUAGCAUUCACAGCCUAAUUACUAAAGGCUUGAGAAAAAGAUGGUCAUCUUUUAAAAUCCAUUAAUUGGCCACAUUUU
rnacentral:sRNA from 1 species